UUACGGCCAUAUCACGUUGAAACACCGGUUCUCAUACGAUCACCGAAGUUAAGCAACGUCAAGUUUGGUCAGUACCUCGAUGGGUGACCGCUUGUGAAUAUUAGGUGCUGUAAG